rnacentral:rRNA from 1 species
GAUGAACGCUGGCGGCGUGCCUAAUACAUGCAAGUCGAGCGAACAGAUGAGGAGCUUGCUCCUUUGACGUUAGCGGCGGACGGGUGAGUAACACGUGGAUAACCUACCUAUAAGACUGGGAUAACUUCGGGAAACCGGAGCUAAUACCGGAUAACAUGUUGAACCGCAUGGUUCAACAGUGAAAGACGGUCUUGCUGUCACUUAUAGAUGGAUCCGCGCCGCAUUAGCUAGUUGGUAAGGUAACGGCUUACCAAGGCAACGAUGCGUAGCCGACCUGAGAGGGUGAUCGGCCACACUGGAACUGAGACACGGUCCAGACUCCUACGGGAGGCAGCAGUAGGGAAUCUUCCGCAAUGGGCGAAAGCCUGACGGAGCAACGCCGCGUGAGUGAAGAAGGUCUUCGGAUCGUAAAACUCUGUUAUUAGGGAAGAACAAAUGUGUAAGUAACUAUGCACGUCUUGACGGUACCUAAUCAGAAAGCCACGGCUAACUACGUG